rnacentral:lncRNA from 1 species
CUGACCUUGUGCUUUCUCUUACUAACUGACAAUUUGGAUGUUCACUUGGUGUUGUAAUGCAGAAAGAGUGCUGCAAUUUUCUAUGAAUUGCUUGAUUUUCAUUCAUCAUGUGUACAUCUACAUAGGAAGCCUUGUUUAUUACCUCCACUCUCAUGCUUACUAUCCUAGGAUUGUCUACCCACUAGUAAAAAAAAUACCCUUGCACGACAAAAAACUAUUCGUCGCUCAAUGUCACUUUGCGUGACGAAACUAAAAACUUCGUCGCCCAAAAUUUUGCGCGACCAAAAUUUGCUUGACGAAAAACAGUU